UCUUGUACUCACCGCCCGUCAACUCAAGGGAACCGGGAAUACCCGAAGUCUAGCGUAUGCUAGCCCACGGUAAAUUCGGUAACAGGGAGUAAGUCGUAACAAGGCACGGCUAGCGGAAGCUGGUCGUGGAAUA
rnacentral:rRNA from 1 species